rnacentral:rRNA from 1 species
CCUACGGGAGGCAGCAGUGGGGAAUAUUGGACAAUGGGGGGAACCCUGAUCCAGCCAUGCCGCGUGUGUGAAGAAGGCCCUCGGGUUGUAAAGCACUUUCAGUGAGGAAGAACGCCUGGUGGUUAAUACCCAUCAGGAAAGACAUCACUCACAGAAGAAGCACCGGCUAACUCCGUGCCAGCAGCCGCGGUAAUACGGAGGGUGCGAGCGUUAAUCGGAAUUACUGGGCGUAAAGCGCGCGUAGGUGGCUUGAUAAGCCGGUUGUGAAAGCCCCGGGAUCAACCUGGGAACGGCAUCCGGAACUGUCAAGCUAGAGUGCAGGAGAGGAAGGUAGAAUUCCCGGUGUAGCGGUGAAAUGCGUAGAGAUCGGGAGGAAUACCAGUGGCGAAGGCGGCCUUCUGGACUGACACUGACACUGAGGUGCGAAAGCGUGGGUAGCAAACAGGAUUAGAUACCCCGGUAGUC